GACGGAGGAUGCAAGUGUUAUCCGGAAUCACUGGGCGUAAAGCGUCUGUAGGUGGUUCGAAAAGUCCACUGUUAAAAAUUGAAGCUUAACUUCAAAGAUGCCGAUGGAAACUUUCAAACUAGAGUGUGGUAGGGUAGAGGGAAUUUCCAGUGGAGCGGUGAAAUGCGUAGAUAUUGGAAAGACCACCGAUGGCGAAGGCACUCUACUGGGCCAUUACUGACACUGAGAGACGAAAGCUAGGGGAGCAAAUGGG
rnacentral:rRNA from 1 species